CUUCUCUCCUCCCUCCUCUUCGGCACCGCGAUACGCAAACUUCUUUAUCUUCUUCGAUGCUUUGCUUUUCUAGAUCCGUUUCUUACAUCUCAAUGCCACUGUACUCUCAUCUUCUUCCACUGCUCAACCUUUAUUAUUCAUCUCUUCUUCUUAACCUUUAUCUUUCACCUCUCAACCUUUCACAAGGCCUCCGUAAACAUCCUUCUUCCUCAUCGUCAAAACCAACACGACACACAUACACACUCACGUCUUGUUCUCUUCUCAUACUCUUCAUCGAUUCAACCAAAUAGCAUGCGUCAUAUGCUAAUGGAAGAGAUCAAUGCUAAAUGA